GUGGCCCCAAGUCAGGCAAGGACACCCGCUGAGUUUAAG
rnacentral:rRNA from 1 species